GGGGGGCGGGGCCGGCGCGACCGGCGGGGCGGGGCGGACACUCCCACCGCGCACCUGCUUCUGCCUGACGUGUACCCGGAAGGUCGUCAGCUCAGGCUCCAAAUAUGUAACAGUGAGUUUCUAAGUGAGUCACACGGACGCGGUUGGUUUCCAGUGAGGCAUAACUCAUCGCUUCACUCUUCUCAACGGUUCCCUCUUCGGAAGGAAGCGCAGUCCGCAGCGUCGUCCGAGGGCGUGAUCGCCUGCGUCGCACCCGCGUCUCCAGUGGCCACCCCUUGUCCUACAGGAACGCGCAUCUGCUUAGCAGGCGCUGAGCCCUUGAGGAGGCCUAAAAUGAAUGAACGCGGCUGUGCCUCCUGAGCAGGCUCACAGUUGUGGGUGGGGGACAGAAGGGUGUCCAUGCCUAAGGUCGACGGCGAUAAGACAGACGUUCUUCCCAGGAGGAGAUCAGUUCCAGGUGGAGAGGUAUGAAGAACGAGGAACACUGCCCGGGGAGUUUCUUCCUCUGCAAAAUAAGGGAGUGUGUACUGAAUUACCGUUUCCAGCUCCAACAUCCAGGAUUUCAGCACUACCUGCAGAGUAGUGGGAGGAGAGAUAGAGGAAGAAGUGAAGAUAAGAAACCACUCGAAGCCGGUGUCUGGUGCUGGGACCGUGGUGGCUGGGACGGCAGCAGUCGUGCUGUCCAUCUGCUCUUCCGAGGGGUGGCACAUCCUAGCCUCUAUCUUUUCCCCAGAGAAGAUCCCCCUCGUCUGCUCUUCCCCCGUCUCAGCCUUUUAGUGUGUGAACAGUUCUGGUGUUACUCAGCAACGCUUUUGUUAGCGCCUUUACCAGCAAGUACUUGUUAAACACUUAAAUCUUACAAGUGGAAAGAAAAUUCCGUGGUAAAUUUAAGUACAAAAGUCAACCAAAAUUCUGAGUCUCGGACAAGACUGGUUAAAAAUCGUUCUACAAUGAAACUAAUAAAUUAAAUCAUAUAAAACUUUUA
rnacentral:lncRNA from 1 species